GAAGAGAAGGGGUGGAGGGAAGGCAAUUUUUUCUUUUAAUUUUUAAUGUUAUUGAUUAAUGGUUAGAAUUGAUGAUGAUGUAACAUGUUUGUUUGAUUGAUUUGUGUGGCAAGGCGAACGGAAUAAUACGGAAAAUAUUGACAGAGAAUUUAAUUAAUUAUUGGAAGGUUAAAAAAACGCUAAACUUACAGGAGUUUGAAUGAAAGGUGAAGAAACCAGAAAAAGCAAAGACCUGCGAGAAGCACAACUGCUCGUCAAUCUCCAACAGCGAUGGACUCGGUACCAGCGGCCAUAGUAGAUCAAUCGGAACAUGACUCCCCUCCAGGGUUGGUGACGGCAGCAGCCGAGGAGGGAAUCGAAGCGGUAGGAGGGUCGGAGGAGGCCAAUGAAGGUAUG
rnacentral:lncRNA from 1 species